rnacentral:rRNA from 1 species
CUACCAUGCAGUCGAGCGAUUUACUUCGGUAAAGAGCGGCGGACGGGUGAGUAACGCGUGGGUAACCUGCCUCAUACACAUGGAUAACAUACCGAAAGGUAUGCUAAUACAGGAUAAUAUAAGAGAUUCACAUGGAUUUUUUAUCAAAGCUCCGGCGGUAUGAGAUGGACCCGCGUCUGAUUAGCUAGUUGGUAAGGUAAUGGCUUACCAAGGCGACGAUCAGUAGCCGACCUGAGAGGGUGAUCGGCCACAUUGGAACUGAGACACGGUCCAAACUCCUACGGGAGGCAGCAGUGGGGAAUAUUGCACAAUGGGCGAAAGCCUGAUGCAGCAACGCCGCGUGAGUGAUGAAGGCCUUCGGGUCGUAAAACUCUGUCCUCAAGGAAGAUAAUGACGGUACUUGAGGAGGAAGCCCCGGCUAACUACGUGCCAGCAGCCGCGGUAAUACGUAGGGGGCUAGCGUUAUCCGGAUUUACUGGGCGUAAAGGGUGCGUAGGUGGUUUUUUAAGUCAGGAGUGAAAGGCUACGGCUCAACCGUAGUAAGCUCUUGAAACUGGAAAACUUGAGUGCAGGAGAGGAAAGUGGGAAUUCCUAGUGUAGCGGUGAAAUGCGUAGAUAUUAGGAGGGAACACCAGUAGCGAAAGGCGGCUUUUCUGGACUGUAACUGACACUGAGGCACGAAAGCGGUGGGGAGCAAACAGGAUUAGAAUACCCUGGUAGUCCACCGCCGUAAACGAUGAGUACUAGUGUCGGGGGUUACCCCCCUCGUGCCGCAGCUACGCAUAGUACUCCCGCCUGGGGGAGUACGCCUCGCAGAAGUGGAACUUCAAAGGAUUUGAC